rnacentral:rRNA from 1 species
AAGAUUAAGCCAUGCAUGUCCAAGUAUAAGCAAUCUAUAUGGUGAAACUGCGAAUGGCUCAUUAAAUCAGUUAUCGUUUAUUUGAUAGUACCUUACUACUUGGAUAACCGUGGUAAUUCUAGAGCUAAUACAUGCUAAAAACCUCGACUUCGGAAGGGGUGUAUUUAUUAGAUAAAAAACCAAUGCCCUCCGGGGCUCCUUGGUGAUUCAUAAUAACUCAACGAAUCGCAUGGCCUUGCGCCGGCGAUGGUUCAUUCAAAUUUCUGCCCUAUCAACUUUCGAUGGUAGGAUAGUGGCCUACCAUGGUUUCAACGGGUAACGGGGAAUUAGGGUUCUAUUCCGGAGAGGGAGCCUGAGAAACGGCUACCACAUCCAAGGAAGGCAGCAGGCGCGCAAAUUACCCAAUCCCGACACGGGGAGGUAGUGACAAUAAAUACUGAUGCGGAGCUCUUUAGGGUUUCGCAAUUGGAAUGAGUACAAUUUAAAUCCCUUAACGAGGAACAAUUGGAGGGCAAGUCUGGUGCCAGCAGCCGCGGUAAUUCCAGCUCCAAUAGCGUAUAUAAAAGUUGUUGCAGUUAAAAAGCUCGUAGUUGAACCUUGGGCCUGGCUGGCCGGUCCGCCUCACCGCGUGCACUGGUCCGGACGGGCCUUUCCUUCUGGGGAGCCGCAUGCCCUUCACUGGUGUGCCGGGAACCAGGACUUUUACUUUGAAAAAUUAGAGCGUUCAAAGCAGGCCUAUGCUCGAAUACAUUAGCAUGGAAUAAUAAGAAUAGGACGUGUGGUUCUAUUUUGUUGGUUUCUAGGACCGCCGUAAUGAUUAAUAGGGAUAGUCGGGGGCAUCAGUAUUCCAUUGUCAGAAGGUGAAAUUCUUGGAUUUAUGGAAGACUAACUACUGCGAAAGCAUUUGCCAAGGAUGUUUUCAUUAAUCAGUGAACGAAAGUUAGGGGAUCGAAGACGAUCAGAUACCGUCGUAGUCUUAACCAUAAACUAUGCCGACUAGGGAUCGGGACGGUGUUAUCAUUUUGACCCGUUCGGCACCUUACGAGAAAUCGAAAGUUUUUGGGUUCUGGGGGGAGUAUGGUCGCAGAGGCUGAAACUUAAAGAAAUUGACGGAAAGGGCACCACCAGGACAACGGCCUUCGCGCCUGGUAAGAACUGUUUAGUCCCCUGAUGGGGGGGGCGAGACUCCUGAACUGCGGGGAUCGCUGCCGCGAGGCUGUGUACCCGAAGCCCGAGAGGGCUCACAGAUCAAGUGGAGUCGGUAGCACGCCGCACACCCCGGCGGGGGAGGGCUACUUGUGAUAUGAUCGGGCCGCCAGCCAACGCUGGCGACUCCGUGCGUGAGCUGCGGCUUAAUUUGACUCAACACGGGGAAACUCACCAGGUCCAGACACAAUGAGGAUUGACAGAUUGAGAGCUCUUUCUCGAUUUUGUGGGUGGUGGUGCAUGGCCGUUCUUAGUUGGUGGAGUGAUUUGUCUGCUUAAUUGUGAUAACGAACGAGACCUUAACCUGCUAAAUAGCCAGGCCCGCUCAGGCGGGUCGCCGGCUUCUUAGAGGGACUAUCGGCUCAAGCCGAUGGAAGUUUGAGGCAAUAACAGGUCUGUGAUGCCCUUAGAUGCUCUGGGCCGCACGCGCGCUACACUGACAGAGCCAACGAGUACACUCCCUUGGCCGGAAGGUCUGGGUAAUCUUGUUAAACUCUGUCGUGCUGGGGAUAGAGCAUUGCAAUUAUUGCUCUUCAACGAGGAAUGCCUAGUAAGCGCGAGUCAUCAGCUCGCGUUGAUUACGUCCCUGCCCUUUGUACACACCGCCCGUCGCUACUACCGAUUGAAUGGCUCAGUGAGGCCUUCGGACUGGCUCAGGGAGGUCGGCAACGACCACCCGGAGCCGGAAAGUUCGUCAAACUUGGUCAUUUAGAGGAAGUAAAAGUCGUAACAAGGUUCCCCAGCGUAGG